UUCUUCAUCUGCUCCCCAAAUUCUGGAAUCUUUUUCAGAUUUUUGCAAUUAUUUAGAUACAACUCCUUAAGGCCAACCAGAUGUCCAAUUGAUGAAGGUAUUUCCUCGAUCGCACUACCACUUAAGACAAUCGACUCCAAAUUCUUCAUCUGCUCCCCAAAUUCUGGAAUCUUUUCCAGAUUUUUGCAAUUAUCUAGAUGCAACUCAUAAAGGCUAACCAGAUGUCCAAUUGAUGAAGGUAUUUCCUCAAUCGCACUACCACUUAAGGCAAUCAACUCCAAAUUCUUCAUCUGCUCCCCAAAUUCUGGAAUCUUUUUCAGAUUUUUGCAAUUAUCUAGAUGCAACACCUUAAGGCCAACCAGAUGUCCAAUUGAUGAAGGUAUUUCCUCGAUCGCACUACCACUUAAGACAAUCAACUCCAAAUUCUUCAUCUGCUCCCCAAAUUCUGGAAUCUUUUUCAGAUUUUUGCAGUUAUCUAGAUGCAACACCUUAAGGCCAACCAGAUGUCCAAUUGAUUAAGGUAUUUCCUCGAUCGCACUACCAUUGAAGCUAAUCGACUCCAAAUUCUUCAUCUGCUCCCCAAAUUUUGGAAUCUUUUUCAGAUUUUUGCAAUUACGUAGAUGCAACACCUUAAGGCCAACCAGAUGUCCAAUUGAUGAAGGUAUUUCCUCGAUCGCACUACCACUGAAGCUAAUCGACUCCAAAUUCUUCAUCUGCUCCCCAAAUUCUGGAAUCUUUUUCAGAUUUUUGCAAUUAUCUAGAUAAAACUUCUGAAGGCCAACCAGAUGUCCAAUUGAUGAAGGUAUUUCCUCGAUCGCACUACUACGUAAGUCAAUCGACUCCAAAUUCUUCAUCUGCUCCCCAAAUUCUGGAAUCUUUUUCAGAUUUUUGCAAUAACGAAGAUGCAACACCUUGAGGCCAACCAGAUGUCCAAUUGAUGAAG
rnacentral:lncRNA from 1 species